rnacentral:rRNA from 1 species
GAUGAACGCUGGCGGCGUGCCUAAUACAUGCAAGUCGAGCGAACAGACGAGGAGCUUGCUCCUCUGACGUUAGCGGCGGACGGGUGAGUAACACGUGGAUAACCUACCUAUAAGACUGGGAUAACUUCGGGAAACCGGAGCUAAUACCGGAUAAUAUAUUGAACCGCAUGGUUCAAUAGUGAAAGACGGUUUUGCUGUCACUUUAGAUGGAUCCGCGCCGCAUUAGCUAGUUGGUAAGGUAACGGCUUACCAAGGCAACGAUGCGUAGCCGACCUGAGAGGGUGAUCGGCCACACUGGAACUGAGACACGGUCCAGACUCCUACGGGAGGCAGCAGUAGGGAAUCUUCCGCAAUGGGCGAAAGCUUGACGGAGCAACGCCGCGUGAGUGAUGAAGGUCUUCGGAUCGUAAAACUCUGUUAUUAGGGAAGAACAAAUGUGUAAGUAACUAUGCACGUCUUGACGGUACCUAAUCAGAAAGCCACGGCGAACUACGU